CUACAGGUGGCACCAGUGGGGAAUAUUGGACAAUGGGGGAAACCCUGAUCCAGCAAUGCCGCGUGUGUGAAGAAGGCCUGCGGGUUGUAAAGCACUUUCGGUUGGGAGGACUGCUUCUAGCACUAAUAUUGUUGGAAGUUGACGUUACCUUCAGAAGAAGCACCGGCGAACUCCGUGCCAGCAGCCGCGGUGAAUACGGAGGGUGCAAGCGUUAAUCGGAAUUACUGGGCGUAAAGCGCGCGUAGGCGGCUAGAUCAGUCGGGUGUGAAAGCCCCGGGCUUAACCUGGGAACUGCAUCCGAUACUGUCUAGCUUGAGUACAGGAGAGGAGAGUGGAAUUCCACAUGUAGCGGUGAAAUGCGUAGAUAUGUGGAGGAACACCAAUGGCGAAGGCAGCUCUCUGGCCUGAUACUGACGCUGAGGUGCGAAAGCGUGGGGAGCAAACAGGAUUAGAUACCCCCGUAGUC
rnacentral:rRNA from 1 species